rnacentral:rRNA from 1 species
UGAGAUGUUGGGUUAAGUCCCGCAACGAGCGCAACCCUCGCCCUUAGUUGCCAUCAUUUAGUUGGGCACUCUAAGGGGACUGCCGGUGAUAAGCCGCGAGGAAGGUGGGGAUGACGUCAAGUCCUCAUGGCCCUUACGGGCUGGGCUACACACGUGCUACAAUGGCGGUGACAGUGGGAUGCAAUGGAGUAAUCCUGCGCAAAUCUCAAAAAGCCGUCUCAGUUCGGAUUGUGCUCUGCAACUCGAGCACAUGAAGUUGGAAUCGCUAGUAAUCGCAGAUCAGCACGCUGCGGUGAAUACGUUCCCGGGCCUUGUACACACCGCCCGUCACACCAUGGGAGUUGGGUCUACCUUAAGACGGUGCGCCAACCGCAAGGGGGCAGCCGGCCACGGUAGGCUCAGCGACUGGGGUGAAGUCGUAACAAGGUAA